GUGGGCUGCGCCGACACCACCUCCGAUCCUGUACGGUUGUGGGCGCCUCGGCGCGCCCUGUGCUCCGCAAUCCUGCGGCGGGCGGCCUGGGAUAAUGCGGCCAUGGUGCGCCGAGAACGCUUGCGCAGGAUGAGGGAGUGGUGGGUCCAAGUGGGGCUACUGGCCGUGCCCUUGCUGGCUGCGUACCUGCACAUCCCACCUCCUCAGCUCUCCCCUGCUCUGCACUCAUGGAAGACGUCGGGCAAGUUUUUCACCUACAAGGGACUUCGCAUCUUCUACCAAGACUCUGCCGGUGUUGUUGGAAGCCCUGAGAUAGUUGUGCUUUUACAUGGCUUUCCAACAUCCAGCUACGAUUGGUACAAGAUCUGGGAAGGUCUGACCCUAAGGUUUCAUCGAGUGAUUGCCCUGGACUUCUUGGGCUUUGGCUUCAGUGACAAACCGCGACCACAUCAGUAUUCCAUAUUUGAGCAAGCGAGCAUCGUGGAGUCCCUUCUUCGUCACCUGGGACUCCAGAACCGCAGAAUCAACCUGCUGUCUCAUGACUAUGGAGAUAUUGUUGCCCAGGAGCUGUUGUACAGGUACAAGCAGAAUCGAUCUGGCCGGCUUACCAUAAAGAGUCUCUGUCUGUCAAACGGAGGUAUUUUUCCUGAGACCCACCGCCCUCUUCUUCUCCAAAAGCUCCUCAAAGAUGGAGGUGUGCUCUCACCUAUCCUCACACGGCUCAUGAACUUCUUUGUGUUCUCUCGAGGUCUCACUCCAGUCUUUGGACCAUAUACUCGACCUUCUGAGAGUGAGCUGUGGGACAUGUGGGCUGGGAUCCGCAACAAUGAUGGGAACUUGGUCAUUGAUAGUCUUUUACAGUACAUCAAUCAAAGGAAGAAAUUCAGGAGACGCUGGGUGGGAGCACUUGCUUCUGUGACCAUCCCCAUUCAUUUUAUCUACGGGCCAUUGGAUCCUAUAAACCCCUAUCCAGAGUUUCUGGAGCUGUACAGGAGCUGGAAGUCAUGACUUUUUGAGGACUGUUACCGAAGUGUUGUAUUUGCAAGAUGUUGUCUGUUGUGUUCUGAACAAUUGAACCAGUUUAAGUGGAACUGGCAAGUUUAUCUGGCUGAGGAAAACGCUGCCGCGGUCCACAGUGUCGAUUCUGGAUGACCACAUUAGCCACUACCCACAGCUAGAGGAUCCCAUGGGCUUCUUGAAUGCAUAUAUGGGCUUCAUCAACUCCUUCUGAGCUGGAAAGAGUAGCUUCCCUGUAUUAAUUACUCCCCAUUCUCGUAUCUGUGUGUAUUCCACUUAGAAAUGCCCAAAAGAGGUCCUGGCAAUCAAAUACUAUUCUUUCAUAAAGUCCAUUUUAUUCACA